rnacentral:rRNA from 1 species
UACAGAGGUGGCAAGCGUUGUUCGGAAUUACUGGGCGUAAAGGGCGCGUAGGCGGCUUGGUCAGUCCCGUGUGAAAUCCCUCGGCUCAACUGAGGAACUGCACGGGAAACUGCCUGGCUUGAGUUCGGGAGAGGGAAGCGGAAUUCCGGGUGUAGCGGUGAAAUGCGUAGAUAUCUGAAGGAACAUCAGUGGCGAAAGCGACUUCCUGGACCAAUACUGACGCUCAUGUGCGAAAGCGUGGGGAGCAAACAGG